GGACCCUGGAGUUCGCUGCCACGGGGGAACUAACGGCACCGACAGCCCCUGUGGCGAGGGAAGAGUCCCGUCCCGGGACUGCGGCCGCCGCCCCUGCGAGGGACGCGGGAGACUCUCGGGGUGUGUGGAGUUAUGAGGGGAGGAAACGAAUUGAAAUUGUGCCAGGGAAGGUUCAGAUUGGAUAUGAGGAAAAACUCUGUCAGGAAUUGGAACAGGCUGCCCAGGGCAAUGGUGGAGUCACCAUCCCUGGAGGGGCUGAACAGAUGAGGAGAUUAAGUUCUCAGGACAUGGGUCAGUGCCAGAGAAGAAGUAUAUCUGAAUUGAAGCAAUGUAGUGAUGCGUUGCAAUAAGAAUUUGAAAGUCUGUAAGAGAAAGAGGUGCCCUGUAGAAGAGGAAGGCAGUCUACUCUGGAGGUGUUGCUGAUAGCCAGGGAUGAGCAACACUGCAGUAUGGGCUUCUCAAAUGGUGUAACACGAUAAUUAAAAGGUCAUUUUCUGGCUGUAGUGGCCAUGAAACUUGAGGGAUUUGGCAAAAGUGAUGUUCUGUUCAUAAUAAAGUGGUGAUGUUUCUCCCUUUAACAAAUACUGUUUUCAUCUCCUUUGUUUUUUGUUGCACACAGAAUAUAUUAAUCCCUCUGAAGGGAGCAGUUCAUGGCAAGAUAACUUUGAUCCAGUUGCUGCCUAUCACAGAAGAUCAGAAACUCUGCAACAGCUCUUUAAUGAAAAACAUUUAAAGUUAAAAUUAUUAAUUUUUAUUCAGGCUUUGUGUUUUCAGUUGCAUUUAUGACCAAAAAACAUUGUGAUGCCAGUGCCUCUCUCUGUUGUAGAACGGUACAUAUGGUAAACUGUUUUGACAUUUCUGUAAAUGAAGUGGUAAAUGAAACGUGUGGAAGUGGGCAGCAUUUAUUAAUACAUAAUCUUGAAGUCCGUGCCAGAAUGCCUGGUAAGACAUUAAUAGCAAUGCCUGAACUGAGCUCUUUAUCUUUUCUAAUAUAUUUUAUUAACAAGCAAUUUAGGGGGAAGUUAAGAAUGGUUUACCCAGUUUUAUUAACAAGAACAGCUGCUAUGAUAUAACAAAGUGAAUUAAAAGUGAGCCAGCAGUCUUAAAGUGUUAAGAAUACUCAUUUCGGCCAAGGGAUGAGCCAAAAAAUAAUAAAGGACUGCCAUUUACCUCAACCUGGGUGUCAGUAUUAGCUUCCUCCAGUCACACCAUGACUUAAAGGUUCUUUUCCAUCUCCAACCCAAGCUGUUCCAGCUCCACCACAAAGUGAUAGUAAUAUAUUAAUGACUUAUUGAAACAACAAGCAACCAAACCCAUAAAACUAACGUUCUAUAUCAUGUCUUGUUUAAUGGUCAUGCUGUGUAUCUUGUUUCCAUUCUACUUUUACAAUAGUGGGACAAAAUUAUCCCUGAUGGAUAAUAAGGUGCCGUUGUUUUGGGGCACAAAUGAAGUAUUUUACAACUCUGAUACUAUCCUAUCUCAGAUUAUAAGAGUAGCUUCUGUAGGAGAAAAUCCAUCCUGCCAGAGGAAUACAUCUGUAAAGUUUACAUUUAGAACUAACAUAAAUGGUCAUGCAGAGGAGGCCUAUAUGAUUAAAAUAUAAGGAAGAAAUAAACUGUUGUUGUUAUCUCCGUUCCUUCCCCCAAAAGAAAACUACAGUGUAGACUGUGUAUAUAAAUAUGUUAGAAACUUGUAGACAAUUAAAAAAUACAGGUUUUAGUUCAAGAUGUGAUAUCUAGUUAAAUGUUUAUCAGAAGUUAAUUUCACUUGUUCUGUUAAGGAAGUGUAUAAUUAGCAAAUACAAAGAGCACGUGGGUAUAUUUCUCAACACUUAAGUAUUUAUUUACAUUAUUAUAUAAACGUAUAUAGCACAGCUCUAGCACUAUACUUAAUUCUCGUUAAGAGUACUGAUUUUUUUUAGCACGAGGCAAUUUAAAAACAAGGAAAAUGAUAAAAGUAGGGCAGAAAAAUAGUGAUGCCAUUUUCUCUAAAUGGAAAAGAAAGAGAAGAAAGAAAUAUUUAAAGGUCUCAGAAGUAAGUGUGUAAAUUUUGCUUGAGUGAAACUUUGAAUGCCAGGCCACCCUAGAAAAUAAAUGUUAUUGUUUUUUAUUAAACUGAAGAAUAACAACCUAACAGAACAAAUUCAGAAAUGAAGCACCUUCGAGGUGGAUCAGUGACAAAACUGUAAGCAUACUCUAAAAAUCUUCUUUUUUUACUGAAUUUUACUCAGCAGAAAAAUAAGAAGUGGGUUGGUUGUUUUCUCCAUUUCAGACUUUGAGGUAGGAAAGAAAAUAUUAAUGUAAGAGAGAGUGGGGAAAUGAUACAUUUUUGGGGGAAAAGGCCAGGCUGCUGCUAUUUAAUUCAGAAACUUGUCAUUUUUAAAAAGAACUUGGCUAUUUUAAUUAGUAUUCCUUUUUUUAGCAAGAACCAUUUUCUUGAGAAAAAUUUGUGCUGAGAAAGUUGAACUUUAGAGCCAAAAUUAGUAUAGGACAUAUAUCAGUAGUGUAUCUGUUCACGUAAAAAAACCAAACCAAAACACCGCCACAUUUUUGUCUCCUGCAUAUCUUUUGAGCUGGGUUGAUUUGGGUUUUGUUUGUUUGUUUUAAUUCAUAUUUUAUCCUUGCAAGAAGGCAGGUUCCCUGUGUUCAGGUGCAUUCAUUAAGACCCAGACUGUGUUGGAAACCUUUAUUGAUGUGACAACAGAAAUGCAUGUUUCAUUAUUUUUGUGUCACAGACAAGGAACCUAUUUAACUGUUCCUACUGGUAUAUUUUUCUUCACUUGUUUGCUUGUUUAAUAUUCCUCCCAAUUAUGUUUUUCUCCAUGUCCCUAGGAAAGACUUCAUGCAUUAAAGGGAUCUGCAAGAAUAACCAUGUUAACUGCACUGCUGUGACCUACGGGUGACUCGUUACAGAAUGAGACAGGCCGAGAUUAGUAAGAUCUCAUCUUCUUUUGCGAAGCUGUCACGUGUUUAAGAGAUUAUCACCAGGGCUUCUGAGGGUUGAGAUUUUUCUCCUGCAAACCGAAGUAAGGGAAAUGUUCUUAGCAAGAGAUAAGAAGAAUUAUGGAAAUGAGAAAAAAUUCUGGGAUAUCAUUUGUGAAAGGGGCCCUAAAAUGUUGCUUUUUUGGUAGUUAAGUCUUUAAAGAGGUUUUAACUGAGCUGGAUCACUGGUUUCUAGAGCUGGUAUAUUGGCUACAAAAGGAGGAGACCCAGCCUCUUCUCAAAACCGUGAAGGGUGGCUCACCUGAAAGUGGAGAGCAGGUGUGGGACGAAGAUCUGGAGAGGAGAAGGAUGUGUGUGGAAGUUCUGAUGGGAGCUGCAGUUUGAAGCUAUGUGUGUAAACCCCCCUGGAACAUUUGGCAGGGAUGAGCUGUUCUGUCUACGCAGGUGGAUUCUUUUUUGUGGCAGUUGACAUUUUGUGAGACAAAAUCUGAGCCAUAUUUUAAGUUAUGCCUCCACUCUUUGCUCUUAUGAAAACUUGCCAAAAAUGUGAACAACUAUUUGUAAUACUAAGCUACAAGGUCUCAUCAACUUGGUUUCUUCUUUAGAUUGUGAAUUUAAUCUCAAAUUGGAUGAUGCAAAGAAACUUCUUCCAAGAAAGGGCUGUGGGGCAUUGGAACAGGCUGCCCAGGACAGUGGUGGGGUCACCAUCCCUGGAGGGGUUGAACAGAAACAGAUGAGGGUCUUAGGGACAUGGGUUAGUGGUAGACUUGACAGUGUUAGGUUAACGCUUGCACUCAAUGAUCUUAAAGGUCUUUUCCAUGAUUCUAAAUACUAAAAGUUUAAAACUUCUUAUUGACAUUUGUAUACUUUAAAAAGAUGCAAUAGCUCUUCCUCUCUUCCUCUCUUCCUCUCUUCCUCUCUUCCUCUCUUCCUCUCUUCCUCUCUUCCUCUCUUCCUCUCUUCCUCUCUUCCUCUCUUCCUCUCUUCCUCUCUUCCUCUCUUCCUCUCUUCCUCUCUUCCUCUCUUCCUCUCUUCCUCUCUUCCUCUCUUCCUCUCUUCCUCUCUUCCUCUUCUUCUCCUCUCUACUGUUCUUCUUCCUUUCAUCUCUUCUCUUCUCUUCUCUUCUCUUCUCUUCUCUUCUCUUCUCUUCUCUUCUCUUCUCUUCUCUUCUCUUCUCUUCUCUUCUCUUCUCUUCUCUCUCUUCUCUUCUCUUCUCUUCUCUUCUCUUCUCUUCUCUUCUCUUCUCUUCUCUUCU